rnacentral:rRNA from 1 species
CACUCCUACGGGAGGCAGCAGUGGGGAAUUUUGGACAAUGGGCGAAAGCCUGAUCCAGCAAUGCCGCGUGAGUGAAGAAGGCCUUCGGGUUGUAAAGCUCUUUUGUCAGGGAAGAAACGGUGAAAGCUAAUAUCUUUUGCUAAUGACGGUACCUGAAGAAUAAGCACCGGCUAACUACGUGCCAGCAGCCGCGGUAAUACGUAGGGUGCAAGCGUUAAUCGGAAUUACUGGGCGUAAAGCGUGCGCAGGCGGUUUUGUAAGUCUGAUGUGAAAUCCCCGGGCUCAACCUGGGAAUUGCAUUGGAGACUGCAAGGCUAGAAUCUGGCAGAGGGGGGUAGAAUUCCACGUGUAGCAGUGAAAUGCGUAGAUAUGUGGAGGAACACCGAUGGCGAAGGCAGCCCCCUGGGUCAAGAUUGACGCUCAUGCACGAAAGCGUGGGGAGCAAACAGGAUUAGAAACCCCGGUAGUCCC